UACGUAGGGGGCGAGCGUUGUCCGGAGUUACUGGGCGUAAAGCGCACGCAGGCGGUCUGCUAAGUUUGGAGUGACAGUUGGUGGCUUAACUGCCAAAGUGCUUCGAAAACUGACAGACUUGAGGGCUUCAGAGUGACACGGAAUUCCGGGUGGAGUGGUGAAAUGCGUAGAGAUCCGGAGGAACACCAAAGGCGAAGGCAGUUAACUAUUCUAUUCCUGACAUUGAGGCAUGAAAGCGUGGGGAGCAAAACGG
rnacentral:rRNA from 1 species